CUCAUCGGCAGGUUUUGGCCUCCGGCCAUCGAUCUCUCUUCUCUUCAGGUCUCCCCUCGAUCCACCCGCCAGCUGGCUUAUCAUCUGCCGGUGCUCUCGCUCGCUUCUCCUUCCUCCAUCGUCUAUUUAUACGGUCCCCUCUCCUCCUCCUCUGCGUACAAAUCUCUCACACACAUCUCUCUCUCUCUCUCUCUCUCUCUCUCGCGGACCUCAGAAUUCCCUGUGCUCUUCUGUCUGCAAGAUCGCGGGCAUGUUCUCCACAGGCUUUCUUGAACUGUGAACUCGUGCUUGAAUCUCUCUCGGUAAAUUCCGUUUGGAUUAGAUCUCCUUCCGAUCACGAGUUUGUUGCCUUGUUGAUGGUUCAAGAAAGUCCUUGGAAAACAUGACGCGUCUUUCCUUUUUCUUUCUUUUUAAUUCUCCACGUAAGUAUGGACAAAGACAUGGGCCGGUGCUAUCUCCUUCAUCAGCGCGCGGCCAGCCGGAGACAGCCGAUCUGCAGGUUUUAGAUCUACCUUGCGCCUGCGGUGUGUGCCCAAAUGCAUGGUGUAUUUUGAAUUGUUUAUUUUAACCAUCCACUUUUCUAUUAAAUCUGCAUAAUUGGCCAAAUCGAUUUUUUAUUUUUUUAGACCUAACUCAACUGUCUUAUUCUUUAAUUCUUUGAGGGAAUAUUAUAUUUCCUGUAUAUCUAAUUACGUUAUCUUUCUUUUAAAAUUUUCAGGUACAGGUAACACUAUCUAUGCCAUGCUUUAUUAUACCAUGUCAUUUUAAAAUUUUGUUAUUGCUAGAUCUUGCAGUAAAAGCUCAUUUGGCUUAUAUAUAAUAGUUGAGUGGGUAGACUGCAUAUCAGUAACACCAGUUUAAUUCAACAGUAACUGCAGUCGUAAAAAAACAGAAGGUUUCAAUAGUACUGCAGAAAUUCAAGCAAACAAAUUUUGAGUAGCUAACUAGGCCCUACAAGGACAUGUCUUGCGAAUUUGUCCAUUUCCUCUCUCCCUUUCCCUUUUCUUAAUUUUUUGGUUUCGUGAGUUUCGAUGGUGCUUACGUUGAAUUGUGCUUGUUGGCUGUAUCUUCGACUUGAUCAAUUUACGAAAAUCAUUGUACCCAUGCUAUUCACGAUGACAGUAUAUAGUUCCUGGGGAUGUAGAGUUAGCAAAAAGGUUGGAACAUGUAAAGAUCGCUUCAUGGUUCACAUUGAAGUGUUAAUUUGCACCAAAUUUCACAUAUAUAUACCCAAGUGAAAGACUAAAAGGUUUAAAUAUAUGCUUGGUUCGGUUGUUUUGCACCGUGGAUUCAUUUUAGUUGGGCAAACAUUUACUGGCUACAAUAGUCUGUUACGGUUGUGGCGUAAAACAUGCUUUCAACUAUCAAACUCUUAUGCCUAAGCCUAAACAUAGUGAAUUUGCAUGCUUCUGAAAAGCCACCGAGAGAGACACUAUACAUUGUAGUAAUAUACAUGCGUGUAUAACAAUAGAGAGGUGUGUAGGAAUAAUGUCAACCGUAUCUUGGAGAAGAGAGCACCAAAUUCUCGUGAGAGAAGAGAAGAGAAGAAAAGAAAAUGGGUGCCCAUGGCAUGGCAUGCGCCGUCCUUUGCACCAACGGGUGGACCUGGAGCAGCUGCAUCAGAGCAAUGCAUCCAUCGAUGGCUGCCUGCUGAUUUACUGUUGGACUGUACGUUGUUGGUCCAGAAAGAUAGAUGGCGUGCACGGGCGUGCACCAGUGAAAUGGCAGCAGACCACAACGCAGCUCCAGCUCCAACUCUGUACGACGAUCCAUCCAGCUGCUGCUGCUGCUGCUGCUCCGCUCGCUUUUCUUCCCUCGUGUCCCGUCGAUCCAUCCAUCCUUGUCCUCCUGAUCUGUCGCUUCAUUCCAUUUCCACCCCUUUUGUAUUUUUCUCUCGCAUUAUAUUCUUGCUUUCUCCCUCCUGCAACAUUUUAUUUCCAACCCAAUUCAAUUCUGGCGAUCUCAUUGCAUCCUGUAAAUGGGAAUCUGAAUCUGCCAAUUUAUCUACGGAAUUGACGUCCGGCUCUAGUAAUGUAAUGCUGCCUGAACCGGAAAGGCGGAAAACGUCGGAAUCGUCUCGCUGUUGGCACCCACUGUAAUCAUCAAAAGGAAGGAGCCUUCUUUUUUUUUUUAAUCCUCAGCAAGCAUCCAUCGAUGGGCAGAUCCAUCACCCCGUAUCAGAGCUGAAGGAGCAGCGGAACCAAAAGGCUCCUUGCUCAGUGUGCUGUGGUGAGAGAAUUGCAGCGCAGCGCAGCGCAGGGAGAUGAAGUGACAUAACUCUGUCUCCCUGGUCGCUCUUCUGCGCGUGCAUGCAUGCAAUGCAUGCGUAGUAAGUAGAGUAGCUGUUCGAUCCAUCUCUGCUUUGCUUUGCUUUCCCUGUGCUGUGUAGGAGCUGCGAAUUUCAUGCUCUGCUCUGCACGGUAGCAAUGAGCAUGCUGCAUCCAUAUGCACAAGCGUCUUCCUUCCCUCCCUCCUUUCUUUUCAUAUAUGUACAAGCUGCACAGAGAAUUUUCUUCACUGUUUUCUUGCUCCGCCAACCUGUUGCUAUAUAUCUAUGAUAUAAUUAAAGUUCAAGUCCUUAACUGUGUGGAUCAAAUCCUGACGAAGAGUUACCACUGCAUGCUGUAAUGUAAUUGAGUGAUGUUGGCAGUUAGGCCUAUUUUUUAUAAUCUGAAAUUGAAACAGACAGUUAAUAGAAUUAAAUUAUAACAAUUUGGUUCUUAGAUUGCUACAAUCUAACAAUCAAUCUCAUCUGACUAUUUCAGAUUGUGAAGUACGAAAGACUAAAAUACCUAUAUCUUUUGUUGAAACUACCCGCCAUUGCAAUCGGGUUUUCACCCCACCCCGAUGCACCUACAACCCCCACCCAUUCGCCCGAUCGCACCCGACACGUUCCCCUGCUCCUACGAAACCCUAGGCACCACCCCCACCGUCGAAAACCGAGUGCCGCCAUCGAAAGUGCACGGAUCCAGCGCGGAUGGAUCUACUGGACCUCAACACGGAGGCACCCGAGGUCACCGUCACCAUUGCAUUCCAAGACACGUUGCAAGCUCCGAUGGAUGAUGUGGAUGGCUCAUUCCCCAACGCGGAGACCGUUCCCAACGCUUGUUGUCUUCUAGGCGGCGCCGCUGCUCUUCGUCUCGGCGCAGAGGCCUGCCACAGCGCGGUGACCUGCCCUGUUACGGUAGCCCAGCGCGGCUGGGGAGCCUAGGCGUACAAGGCACCGUGCCUCUUCGUCGGCGUGGCUUUCAACAUAGCAGCCGACGUGGCAGUCGUAUCAUCUGUCGGCGCACCAUUUGUAUUUGAGCUUGUUUGUGUUUGAUCUUGCCAUUUGUAUUUGUGUGAUGAGGCACUUGUGAAGUUAUUGAUGUCUUGAAGAAAAUUAGCACUAAUUGAUUAUUUGUUUUGGAUGCUGUUACCAUUCUAGAUGUUGUUACUAUUUUGGAUGCUGUUAAUUGUGGAUAGAUAUUACAGAGAGUUUGGUUAAUAUAUCUUAAUUGUGGAUA